GAUCAUCCCGUUCCACACGCACGUCGGCUUCGGCUUGCGGGCGUGGUGGAUGGCCCUGCGGAUGAAUGAAAGUACAAACCAAUCGCCUCGCAAGGGGCAGUAUCACGGAGUAGUGCUGAAUCAAUUCAUCUUUGCGAAAGCCGGCUUGCCGGCGUCUUUUGACGAACAACUGUUUCUAUCAGCCAUGAUGGCCGUGUAGUGGACUGCCAUGGCGUUGACGGGAGCGGGGGAUUAGGGUUCGAUUCCGGAGAGGGAGCCUGAGAAAUGGCUACCACUUCUACGGAGGGCAGCAGGCGCGCAAAUUGCCCAAUGCCAAAACAAAUGAUGAGGCAGCGAAAAGAAAUAGGUGCCCCAAACGCCUUGUGUGUUUGGGGCUUUCAAUGGGGGAUAUUUAAAACCAUCCAACAUCGAGUAACAAUUGGAGGACAAGUCUGGUGCCAGCACCCGCGGUAAUUCCAGCUCCAAGAGCAUAUAUUAACGCUGUUGCUGUUAA
rnacentral:rRNA from 1 species